AGCGGGAUGGAGCAGUCCGGUAGCUCGUCGGGCUCGUCGCCCGAAAGUCGCUGGUUAACUCCAGCACCCGCAUCCA
rnacentral:tRNA from 2 species